UCCCUGAUGGUCCAGUGGUUAAGACUCAGUGCUUUCACUGUUGUGGGCCCAGGGUCCAACUCCUGGUUGGGGAA
rnacentral:tRNA from 1 species